GCCGGUAAGUGAGAGCGCGGCAGUGAGACUGUGGGGGAUAAGCUCCAUGGUCGAGAGGGAAACAGCCCAGAGCAUCGACUAAGGCCCCCAAGCGUACGCUAAGUGGGAAAGGAUGUGGAGUCGCACAGACAACCAGGAGGUUGGCUUAGAAGCAGCCAUCCUUGAAAGAGUGCGUAAUAGCUCACUGGUCUAGUGAUUCCGCGCCGACAAUGUAGCGGGGCUCAAGCGUACCGCCGAAGUCGUGUCAUUCAUACAGAUAGGGCCAACGCCCGUAUGGAUGGGUAGGGGAGCGUCGUGUGCCGGGUGAAGCAGCCGCGGAAGCGAGUUGUGGACGGUUCACGAGUGAGAAUGCAGGCAUGAGUAGCGAUACACACGUGAGAAACGUGUGCGCCGAUUGACUAAGGGUUCCUGGGUCAAGCUGAUCUGCCCAGGGUAAGUCGGGACCUAAGGCGAGGCCGACAGGCGUAGUCGAUGGAUAACCGGUUGAUAUUCCGGUACCCGCUGUGAAGCGUCAAACAUCGAGCA
rnacentral:ncRNA from 1 species